rnacentral:rRNA from 1 species
GGUUAAGCGACUAAGCGUACACGGUGGAUGCCCUGGCAGUCAGAGGCGAUGAAGGACGUGCUAAUCUGCGAUAAGCGUCGGUGAGGUGAUAUGAACCGUUAUAACCGGCGAUUUCCGAAUGGGGAAACCCAGUGUGUUUCGACACACUAUCAUUAACUGAAUCCAUAGGUUAAUGAGGCGAACCGGGGGAACUGAAACAUCUAAGUACCCCGAGGAAAAGAAAUCAACCGAGAUUCCCCCAGUAGCGGCGAGCGAACGGGGAGGAGCCCAGAGCCUGAAUCAGUGUGUGUGUUAGUGGAAGCGUCUGGAAAGGCGUGCGAUACAGGGUGACAGCCCCGUACACAAAAAUGCACAUAUUGUGAGCUCGAUGAGUAGGGCGGGACACGUGGUAUCCUGUCUGAAUAUGGGGGGACCAUCCUCCAAGGCUAAAUACUCCUGACUGACCGAUAGUGAACCAGUACCGUGAGGGAAAGGCGAAAAGAACCCCGGCGAGGGGAGUGAAAAAGAACCUGAAACCGUGUACGUACAAGCAGUGGGAGCCUCUUAAUGGGGUGACUGCGUACCUUUUGUAUAAUGGGUCAGCGACUUAUAUUCUGUAGCAAGGUUAACCGAAUAGGGGAGCCGAAGGGAAACCGAGUCUUAACUGGGCGUUAAGUUGCAGGGUAUAGACCCGAAACCCGGUGAUCUAGCCAUGGGCAGGUUGAAGGUUGGGUAACACUAACUGGAGGACCGAACCGACUAAUGUUGAAAAAUUAGCGGAUGACUUGUGGCUGGGGGUGAAAGGCCAAUCAAACCGGGAGAUAGCUGGUUCUCCCCGAAAGCUAUUUAGGUAGCGCCUCGUGAAUUCAUCUCCGGGGGUAGAGCACUGUUUCGGCAAGGGGGUCAUCCCGACUUACCAACCCGAUGCAAACUGCGAAUACCGGAGAAUGUUAUCACGGGAGACACACGGCGGGUGCUAACGUCCGUCGUGAAGAGGGAAACAACCCAGACCGCCAGCUAAGGUCCCAAAGUCAUGGUUAAGUGGGAAACGAUGUGGGAAGGCCCAGACAGCCAGGAUGUUGGCUUAGAAGCAGCCAUCAUUUAAAGAAAGCGUAAUAGCUCACUGGUCGAGUCGGCCUGCGCGGAAGAUGUAACGGGGCUAAACCAUGCACCGAAGCUGCGGCAGCGACACUAUGUGUUGUUGGGUAGGGGAG